rnacentral:lncRNA from 10 species
AAUAGACGAUGCCGCAGCAGCCCAGCCUCCAGCGUCUGGGGACAAAAGCCCUCACCAGAAGCCGAGUGGAUGCCACUGCCACUUGAACUUCCCAGUCUGCAGAACUGUGAGCUACACCUUUUUAUAAAUGACCCAUCUCAAGUAUUCUGUUACAACACCACCAAAUGGACUAAGACAAGUAUUUAUCCAAAGGAAAUAAAAAUGCUACGACACAAAGAGGAGCUGCUAACACCAGAUGACCAACUCCUUUCCAGUUACGGACCAUCCCGGUGAUGAGACCUCCAUAUGUUGUCUGAUGGCCGCAGUUCCUUGAGAAGCGUGGCCUGUCAGCCCAGCAUCAGAUGGUUCCAUGCCAACCUCCUCCAUGGCUAGGUGUUGGAGCGCCCCAGCUGCUGCCUCCCUGGUAGCUUUCAUUAAAGGACUUUGCUUUUUUGGUGUCUACAUCUCUUAGGAAGAAGAGAAUAAUGAGAUGAUGUAUGCAGAGCACUGGCAGAAAGCCUAGCAUAGAGGAAUCUGAGGAUUCGCCAUGCAUGCUUCCUGGUAUAUAGUACUAGUUCUUGUCAAUGGCACAGAGACUUGAAGA